CUUGUAUGGGAAAGAGGUUGGGGGAGGUGGGUUCAGACAAUGAAGAGCGCCGCCACCGCGCCUGCGCAAAGACCAGUGGCCCAGUUCAUCUGUUUCGUGGGAACCUGGCAUUCGGACAAAGAACUGAGACGUGAUGCUUCUCGGAAGAAGUGGCAGCCUGAUACCUUUAACACUAAACUGUGGUCGCCAACCCCGUACGGUUUAAGGGCAAGGAAUCACGGAGGGGUGAAACAAGCGGCUUCUCCUCUCUCCGCAGGGUUUUGCAGAGUUUUGGAUUCACAUUUGCCAAAGGGUCUCUAAAUAAAAUGGGACGUGUUCUAUUUUAUUCAAGAAAUCUGUUUUCCAUCACAGAACGACUUAAUUACCUUCCUUCCACACUUCCUACUUCGCCUCCUUGUUCCCGCGGGAUCUGUGGCCGGGGGCUCGUUAGGCAUCAUGCCCAUUAGCUCGCAGAGCAAACGAUGACAUAGCCUUCAUUUAUCGGAGCAGCUGCUUUUUCGCGAGCCCGGAUAGCUCAGUCGGUAGAGCAUCAGACUUUUAAUCUGAGGGUCCAGGGUUCAAGUCCCUGUUCGGGCGUUGCCGCUUUUCCUUUUUUAAACAGGUGCUUCAGAAGUGAAAACCAGCUUUAGGGGCCCUGCAUUGUGGUGGCCGAUUUCCUUUAGCAUAGGGAGUAAAACGCUGGAACGGUACCUUGCGAGUACAAACCACUUCCCAGAGAAAAACCCGGCAGACGCCACUGGCGUUUGUGCAAAGCUCUCCCGGAGCGCUUCGCUCUGCACUGUAAAUAGGCAGGCUUACUCUGCAAAUUGGUCUCAGGAACAGCUGCAGUUAAAGAAAAGGGAACUUGACGCCUUCAGGAAGUCCCUGGGACUCCCGCAGUCGCCACCUCCCUUCUCUGUUCUGUGAGUGGCCCCGGCGGAUCACUCUCUCUCUCUCUGGGUUCCCUCCUACUAGGUCCCUGCGGAUUGUGGCACGGAUCCUGCACCCUUCCGCUCUGCCUUACUACUCUUCUAGAGAAUAUUUUUGUACUCUGAAAGGGAGGAGAUCACUAUCUAGAAACUGAAGCACCACACAGAGCAAUUCCCCCUCUCUGCUGGGGUCAGAUUUCUCCCCUCAGUCCCAAAGUGUGACCGGGAAUCCGGGGAGAAAUUGAAGUUGAGUGGCAGCUUCUGCUGGUGGGAGAAAGAGGGUGCAUAUUGGGAAAGAUUGCAUUCAAGGGACUUGAAUGGGAUAGGUCCUGGAGUUUGAAAAACAAAAAGUUCACUCCCACCGACCACAAUUUAAUAAGGAAAGCAUUUGGCUCUAUGAGAAGUUUUGAGGAAGUUGGGUUGGGGACCCAAGGGCUCAGGCAUGAUUCAUCAAGACUAAUGUUCCCUGUGGAGCCAAGGGUCCGGGUGCAUCCUUGCUUAGCUGGUGCCUGAGCCUCUCUUUCUACAGCCAGUAAAGGAAAGAAUAU
ensembl:lncRNA